rnacentral:rRNA from 1 species
GGCGCUUGAGAGAACUCGGGUGAAGGAACUAGGCAAAAUGGUGCCGUAACUUCGGGAGAAGGCACGCUGAUAUGUAGGUGAAGCGACUUGCUCGUGGAGCUGAAAUCAGUCGAAGAUACCAGCUGGCUGCAACUGUUUAUUAAAAACACAGCACUGUGCAAACACGAAAGUGGACGUAUACGGUGUGACGCCUGCCCGGUGCCGGAAGGUUAAUUGAUGGGGUUAGCGCAAGCGAAGCUCUUGAUCGAAGCCCCGGUAAACGGCGGCCGUAACAAUAACGGUCCUAAGGUAGCGAAAUUCCUUGUCGGGUAAGUUCCGACCUGCACGAAUGGCGUAAUGAUGGCCAGGCUGUCUCCACC